AAAUUGGACUGUGAAAUCUCAAUUCGAAGAUUACAAAUACGGUGAAUUAUCAAGAUCCUAAAAUUUAUGUCAUGAAUCAUAACUAGAAGUUAUAUAAAGAAACCUAAAAUUGAUAUUUGAUGAGAUCAAUGAUAAAGAUCCAACGGUUGAGAUUCGUAUAUAGACAUAUCUACAUGAAACACCUUAGAUUAAAUUUGUGUAGAAACGAUGGUUCAGCUCCUAAGGUACAACAUAUUCUGUUCUCAUUUACAAGAAACCUAUAGAUAUAUAUUUUAGAAAAUUGAAAUUAUUUUAUAUUUAUGUAUAAAGUAGAUAUCAAACUAGCAACAUUUUCUUCAUUUAUUUAAUUAUUAUUUAAGUAAUGAAGUUUUUUUUAAAUGUUUAAUUUUUUUAUAUUUAAUUUUUUUAUAUUUUGUAAUAUUGUUUAAUUUUCACUUUAUUUUAUUAUAUCCUCAAAGUAUUAUUAGGAAACACAACAAAUAACUUUAAGAAGAGUAAAAUAACAUCAAGAGAACUUGUAUUUUAUCAAGUUCAUUCGAGUGUUAUACCUUUUAUGUUCUCAAAUCUAUUUUCUUUGUGAUAUAUUAAUUGUAUAUCCAUAAAUAUGUACUUCUCUUUUAGUUUUUUUAGGUUAGAGAAAUAGAGACUCGCAAAAUAAUAGAUUUUAUUUUAAAAUAAGAAGUCAACACUGUUUUAUACCUUAUUUUUUAUAAAAAGAAAUCAUUUAAUAAUCUUGUUACUAGUGUAGAGAUUUUUCAAUUUAAAAAGAUAAUUUAUCUCAAUAAAUUGUAUAAUCUCUACAAUUAUUUAAAUAAUAAAAUUAUUAUAUGAGAUCCAAACACUAUAAAUUGUAAUUUUGUUUUGAAUUUAUUUCGUUCUAAUAUAAAUUUUUUCUUUUCAGUACUAGUAAUGGAAAGAGAAAAGAAUUCAAAUACAAAAAUAAAGUGAUUUUUAGAUGUUCCUAUAAACCGUUUUCUUCAUAUCUCUUUAAAUAUAUGUAUAUAGAAAUUUUAAUUAUAUAUUUUAACCACUCUUGUUUUCUUGCAUCAUAGGCUACAUAUAAAGAGAAGAUCCUUUUGAAGUGUAUUUGCAUAGUAGAUAUCUUCUAGAGUCAUGUAUCAUGCAAGAAUCGUAAGUUUUAAUUUAGGGCAAUUAUAUUUGUAACAAGAGUGAAAAUAUGAAAUGAUUUCUUAAUUAAGGUCCUUAAUGACAUAUAUAUUCUUGUUGUCCUUUUUUUUAAACUUGUAGUAACCCCUAAUUUUUUUAAUAUUGUCGUAGUAACCUUUUGUAAUAAACAGUGUAACCCUUAUGUAUCUUUUUAUCAUCACCAUCUUUGACCUCCGUCUAUUUUUUCUAUAAAAUUUUCCUUCCUUAAUAUUUAAUCAGAAAUUUUAUUCUAAACAAAAACUUUAUAAAUAAUUACAUAUUAUUGUAACUUUUAUAUUCUCAAUUUAAAUAAUUCAUAUUCAUGUAACUUUUUUAUUUUCCAUUGUAUUUUGAGACAUGGUCUUAUUUAUAGGAUGGGGUUGUUUAAUUUUCUCUAUAACCUAAUUUGAAUUUUUUUCUUUCUUCCGUUCAAACGGUUAAGAAUCCCUUAGGUUCCUUUCUUUUUUAUUUGAAAUAUAUUUUAACUUUCUGUUUAAACUUAUUAAAAAAUAUGUUUAACAAAAUAUAUGAUUUUGUACAAAUGAUUUUCUUAUUUUAAUUGACCUAAAAUCCUCACAUCAAAUUACAUCUUAGGAUAUGGAAGUUUAUGAAACUUCUUCACAGCCAAUUCUACCACAUUUGUGAUGAAGGGAGUAUAUUCUUGGAAGUGAAAAAUAUUACAAUUCAAUUUGAAUGAAAUUAAGAGAAUUUUAAUUAUUUCUACAAAAAAAAUUAGAUGAUUCAAUUUCUCAAAAUGAAAUGUAUGAAAACUACCAACAAAAAUCAUAUUAUAUUAUAAAUAUAUAUAACUAGGUAGUUAGAGGGAAAGAGAAAGCAUGCAAUAGAAGGGAGAGAUAAAAAGGAAUUAAAAAUGUUGAUAUAAGAGAUUCUAAAAGGUUUUAAAUAAAUUUUGUAGAAGGAGUUAGAAUUUCUAAACUUAAAAAAAAAACUACAAACCCCAAAUUAUUGCAUCUCUUCUCAUGCAAAGAAUUCUCUCCCACUUUAUAAACUCUAUUCCAAGUGUAUACUACAAGCUCAUAUAUACCAAAAGUUAACAAGAAAGCUAGGAACUUUCUUUAUCUUUUGAACUAUAAAAAACAAAGAUGGUGACUUAAACUUUUCCACAUAAAAAUAAUUAAAUCGUAAUAAAAUAAAAUAUUGAUUUGUAGAGUUCAUGC
rnacentral:lncRNA from 1 species